rnacentral:rRNA from 1 species
GGGGAAUAUUGGUCAAUGGAGGGAACUCUGAACCAGCAACGCCGCGUGAAUGAUGAAGGUCUUCGGAUUGUAAAGUUCUUUUCUAAGGGAAGAAGAUAGUGACGGUACCUUAGGAAUAAGCCUCGGCUAACUAC